GAUGAACGCUGGCGGCGUGCUUAACACAUGCAAGUCGAACGGACUUUAUUUGAAGCCUAGCGAUAAUAAAGUUAGUGGCGGACGGGUGAGUAACGCGUGGGUAACCUGCCGUAUGCUGGGGGACAACAGUUGGAAACGACUGCUAAUACCGCAUAAGCGCACAGUACCGCAUGGUACAGUGUGAAAAACUCCGGUGGCAUACGAUGGACCCGCGUCUGAUUAGCUAGUUGGUGAGGUAACGGCCCACCAAGGCGACGAUCAGUAGCCGGCCUGAGAGGGUGAACGGCCACAUUGGGACUGAGACACGGCCCAAACUCCUACGGGAGGCAGCAGUGGGGAAUAUUGCACAAUGGGGGAAACCCUGAUGCAGCGACGCCGCGUGAGUGAAGAAGUAUUUCGGUAUGUAAAGCUCUAUCAGCAGGGAAGAAAAUGACGGUACCUGACUAAGAAGCCCCGGCUAACUACGUG
rnacentral:rRNA from 1 species